CUUUCCUCUGUGGUGGAUAGUUUCUGUCCCCCCCAUGAGAUUCUAAGUAAUGACAACAACACUGUUGUUGCAUCCACAGGACACAAGCCUUCAGUGAUUGUGCACGGCCCUCACCCCUCCUCCACGCAGUUGCUAGUAGUCAAGGAUACACAAAGGUUU